rnacentral:rRNA from 1 species
GAGUUUGAUCCUGGCUCAGAUUGAACGCUGGCGGCAGGCCUAACACAUGCAAGUCGAGCGGCAGCGACUUAACUGAACCUUCGGGGAACGUUAAGGGCGGCGAGCGGCGGACGGGUGAGUAAUGCCUGGGAAUAUGCCCUGAUGUGGGGGAUAACUAUUGGAAACGAUAGCUAAUACCGCAUAAUCUCUUCGGAGCAAAGAGGGGGACCUUCGGGCCUCUCGCGUCAGGAUUAGCCCAGGUGGGAUUAGCUUGUUGGUGAGGUAAUGGCUCACCAAGGCAACGAUCCCUAGCUGGUCUGAGAGGAUGAUCAGCCACACUGGAACUGAGACACGGUCCAGACUCCUACGGGAGGCAGCAGUGGGGAAUAUUGCACAAUGGGGGAAACCCUGAUGCAGCCAUGCCGCGUGUGUGAAGAAGGCCUUCGGGUUGUAAAGCACUUUCAGUAGGGAGGAAGGUAGUGUAGUUAACACCUGCAUUAUUUGACGUUACCUACAGAAGAAGCACCGGCUAACUCCGUGCCAGCAGCCGCGGUAAUACGGAGGGUGCGAGCGUUAAUCGGAAUUACUGGGCGUAAAGCGCAUGCAGGCGGCCUGUUAAGUCAGAUGUGAAAGCCCGGGGCUUAACCUCGGAAUUGCAUUUGAAACUGGCAGGCUAGAGUCUUGUAGAGGGGGGUAGAAUUUCAGGUGUAGCGGUGAAAUGCGUAGAGAUCUGAAGGAAUACCAGUGGCGAAGGCGGCCCUCUGGACAAAGACUGACGCUCAAAUGCGAAAGCGUGCGGAGCAAACAGGAUUAGAUACCCUGGUAGUCCACGCCGUAA